UACGUAGGCAGCGAGCGUUGUUCGGAGUUACUGGGCGUAAAGCGUGCGUAGGCGGUUUUCUAAGUUUGGUGUGAAAUCUCCCGGCUCAACUGGGAGGGUGCGCCGAAGACUGGGAGGCUGGAGUAUGGGAGAGGUAGGCGGAAUUCCUGGUGUAGCGGUGAAAUGCGUAGAUAUCAGGAGGAACACCAGCGGUGUAGACGGCUUACCGGACCAUGACUGACGCUGAGGCACGAAAGCGUGGGGAGCAAACAGG
rnacentral:rRNA from 1 species